rnacentral:rRNA from 1 species
CCGUGCAAUUCGGUAUAAUCUGAAUUAUACUAAUUAUAUUUUUUUAUAGUGAAAUUAUUUUUUAUUAUAAACAUUUUAAUUGUUAUUGUAUUAGGUUUAGAUAAAAUAUUUAUUAUUAUAGUUUAUUUUUACUGUGAAGAUAAUUUUAUUAAUAUAUAUAAGUAGUUUUUGUUUAUUGUACCUUGUGUAUCAGGGUUUAUUAAAUUAUAUUAUUUAAUUUUUAUUUCCCGAUUUUAAAAGAUUUAAUUAAUUAUUUUUUAUAUUGUGUUAUAAAUAUAUAUAAUAAUUUUUUGGUAGUGAAAUAUUAUUCGAUUUUAAUUGUAUCUGGUUUUUUAAUAAAUGAAUUUAAUUCAUGUAUUUUUAUUAUAUUUCUAUUUUUAUAGUUUAAAUAUUUUAUAAAUACUAAGAUUGAGGGGGAUAAGCUCUUCAGUUUAUUUAAAACUUACUUACUUAUUUAUUAUUUUAGUUGGUUUUAUAAUAACUAUCUUAUUAAGUUUGUUAUAAUUUUAUUUAUAUAAUAAUUUGAUUUAUUGUUGUUUAAUUUUUAUAUUAGAAUUUCUUAUUGAAUAAGAAAUUAAUAGUAAUAAUGAUGAAAUUAGUAAAUGGAUUUUUAUAAUUAUAAUUAUAAAAUUAUAAUUUUCAUAAAAGAACUAGGCAAAUAUUAUGAUUCUCGCAUGUUUAACAAAAACAUCUCUUCUUGAAAUUUAUUUGAAGUAUAACCUGCCCACUGAUUAUUUUUGAAGGGCCGCGGUAUUUUGACCGUGCAAAGGUAGCAUAAUCAUUAGUCUUUUAAUUGGAGACUGGAAUGAAUGGUUGGACGAGGAAUAGACUGUUUCUUUGAAAUUUAAUUGAAAUUAAAUUUUAAGUAAAAAUGCUUAAAUUUUUUUAUGGGACGAGAAGACCCUAUAGAGUUUAAUAUAUUUUAUUAUUAAUAAUAUUGGUAAUGUGCAUAAUUUUGUUAAUAUAUUUUGUUGGGGUGAUGGGAAGAAUUAAUAAACUCUUUUUUGUAUUAAUAUAUUUAUAUAUAAAUUUUUGAUCCAUUUUUGUUGAUUAUAAGACUAAAUUACCUUAGGGAUAACAGCGUAAUCUUUUUUGAGAGUUCAUAUCGAUAAAUGGGUUUGCGACCUCGAUGUUGGAUUAAGAUUUAAUUUGGGUGUAGUCUUUCAAUUGUUUAGGUCUGUUCGACCUUUAAAAUCUUACAUGAUCUGAGUUCAAACCGGCGUGAGCCAGGUUGGUUUCUAUCUAUACAUAAGUUUUAUAUCUUAGUACGAGAGGACCAGAUAUUAAAAAUAAUUUUAUAAUUAAUUGAUUAUUAUUAAUUACUAUUUUGGCAGAUAAGUGCAAUGGAUUUAGAAUCUAUAUAUGUAGAAG